rnacentral:lncRNA from 1 species
GGGGGGGUCCUAGUAAUCACAUAAUCACCAUUUUUUUGCCAAUAUAAUCACAUAAUCAUUAAAUAUUUGCUUAUCUUUAGUAAUCAAAUAAUCAUAAACUAAAAAUAUAGUCCUAGGUAAUCAAAUAAUCAUGAAAUAUUUGGCUUAAUAAUCAAAUAAUCAUUAAAAAAACGGCCAAGUAAUCACAUAAUCAAAAACCCCAUGAGGGCCCUC